UACGGGGGGGGCAAGCGUUGUUCGGAAUUACUGGGCGUAAAGGGCUCGUAGGCGGCCAACUAAGUCAGACGUGAAAUCCCUCGGCUUAACCGGGGAACUGCGUCUGAUACUGGAUGGCUUGAGAUUGGGAGAGGGAUGCGGAAUUCCAGGUGUAGCGGUGAAAUGCGUAGAUAUUGGGAGGAACACCAGUGGCGAAGGCGGCUACCUGGACCGGUUCUGACGCUGAGGCGCGAAAGCGUGGGUAGCAAACAGG
rnacentral:rRNA from 1 species